UACGUAGGGUGCAAGCGUUGUUCGGAAUCACUGGGCAUAAAGCGCAUGUAGGCGGCUCGAUCAGUCGGGUGUGAAAGCCCCUGGCUCAACCAGGGAACUGCAUUCGAUACUGUCGGGCUCGAGGGUGGCAGAGGAGAGUGGAACUCGUAGUGGAGCGGUGAAAUGCGUAGAUAUUACGAGGAACACCGGUGGCGAAAGCGACUCUCUGGGCCAUUCCUGACGCUGAGAUGCGAAAGCCAGGGGAGCAAACGGG
rnacentral:rRNA from 1 species